CGUUCGUGGUUGCAGGAGUGAGGCCAGGGAGAGGUUGGCGUCGCAGACUUCGGAAUAGAGCAGCCUAGAAGAUGAACUCUUCGGAAGAAAAGAGACUUUCCGAGGAAAACAAACCCACACCCUUCCAUUACCUGCAUGGCCGGGCCCGGCAGCCUCGCCGGAAGUGCUGCGGCCAGAAUUACAGCCGUCACACACCCUCUGUCCCCGGGGCAGGUAAGGACUCUGCACUGGAGUCCGAUGGGCUCGGGCGCCCUCCCAGACCGAGGCCGGAAGGUCUUCUGGUGUCCCCAGCGCCCGAAGGUUUUCAUGCACGUUUCUUCUCCCUGGUGGCAGCUCAGAGGGGCAGUGCUUGAAGUUCCCAUCAAUAGGAUUCAGAAAUGGAAAUCUGUAUUUUCCAUGGUCACUGGUACCCAGGAAGUAUUUGGACUUCCUCCCACCACAGUCCCCUUUGCCCACUACACCUAACCAAAGACCUAAUUUCUGGUACUACAGUGGCCAUGGGGAAAAAAUGAGCACGAAAGGGCCUCAGACUAAACUUCAGCAGUUGUGGCACAAUAAGAUUUCACAGAGUUCCUGUGAAAGUAGGAGUGUGGUAUGUAACCCUCAUGGGGGUGAAGACCCUUCCCUGGAGAAAAUGUGUGAAGAAGAAGGAGAGAUGGACAGCUGCCCUCAGGGGCACAUGCCCGGUGCUGCCCCGUUGGCCCACUCUAACAAAGUCGAUGUAGCCAUUCAGUGUGACAUGAGCUGGCUGGAGGAUGCAGAGCUGGAGAGAUCCCCUGCGUCAUCACCAGGAGGGAGAAAGGGAACAGCGGAAGAGUCAGUGCUGUGUGGCAUCCUGGGUAGAAAGGAGGUAGGAGAGCAGGACAGCAGGCCCUCCACUGCCCAGUUGACCCAGUCUAACAAAAUCAAUGAAUCCAUCCAUUGUGAAAUAGGUUGGGUGGAAGAUGCAGAGCUGGAGAACUCCCCUGAGCAAAUGCCCUUGAUAGGUGAAGAGUCACCGAACUGCACAACAGCGGGACCGAGGAAGAUGCCCAGGAGCAGGAAAUUACAUGAGGCCAGGACUGCGUUCUUAAAAGGAAAGAAUGACACUGCGACCUUGACCAAAGAAAUUACUUCUUUGAACAUUUCAGAUGAGUGUGAGUUGGAAGAUGAAGCGUGUGAGAUAGAAUGGGUCUUUGUAGAAGAAGUUAGUGGUCCCAGUUCUAAAGAAAGGUUUGAUCAGGAAGAAUCCUGGGGAAGCUAUUUGUAUUCUCUACUUGUCUGGCCCUGGAGCAGUAAUAUCAACGAGAAGAAUGCUGAGUGUGAGGGCACCUCUAUGACCCCGUUAUCCUUACCAAAAAAGAGGACUGUGAAAUAUAUGACAACAAGUCUCUGACAGAACAUAGCAUCACCCAGGAGGCAUUGGACUCCAUGACAUUGUCUCAGGAGUAAAUAUAAGCGACUAAUGGGCUCAGCCUCCUUAGUUGUCUAGUGGUUUCCUUUUGGGUCCUGGGUCCAAAGGCAGCAGGAUCAAUGAGAAUUCUCCAUUUUAAAAUCGAGUUUUCACUUAAGCUCUAGGUGCCCAUAUUUGUAGAAUUUGCAAAGAAGAUCCCAAGUUAGAGGUGAGACAGAGUCAUAGCAGAUGAUGGCUGGGAGGUAAUGGUAAUGGAGAGCUGGGUUGAGUAGUCAGGACAGGGGGCUGUAGAUUUAACUCUGCUGUUGGGCAAAUGAAAAUUGUCACCAUUCUAACUGGGUAACAGGCAUAUCUAUAGACACUAGGUUGCAGAAUGUAUUGGAGCCAAAGAUAUUCUCUUCUGUGGAAUGUUAUUUUUAUGGUGUUUCACAUUUAAUUCCUGAUGUUGCUAAUGAUAGUAAGUUGUGGUUUAUAUGGGAUUAUUAUUAUUAUUUUGUUAAGAGAGUGAAAGGGACAGGGAGAGAUAGGGAGGGAGGAACAUCGAUGUGAGAGAGAGGGACACACAUUGAUUGGUUGCCUCCCAACUGGCUGGGGAUCAAGCCUACAACCGAGGUACAUAACCUUGAUCAGAAUUGAACCCGUGACCCUUCAGGCCUCGGGCCGGCACUCUAUUAAGUGUCCCAGUUUAGAGCCGGGUACUGGAAGUUUAGUAUCUUCCUUUACACUGAGCCUUGAUAUUGAGUAUCCCUGCCAUUCCUCCAGCACCUAGUCCUGGGAUGUCAGGGUUCAGUUGCUUUACAGCCAUCUAAAGGACAUCCUGCCCGCAGUGGCAUAAAGGAAAGACUGAUAACUAAGCACAGGCAAAAUGUCAAGAGCCUUGGUUUUAUCUGAAAGGUAGAAAGGAAAAAUGGGUAAUGAUUCUCUGUAUUCCUCUUUUUUUGGUUAAUCCUCAUCUGAGAAUAUUUUUCGAUUGAUUUUUAGAGAGAGU